UUGCUAAUACCCCAUAUGCUUUCGAGUGAAAUGGAUUUUUCCGCCUAAAGAGAAGCUUGCGGCUGAUUAGCUUGUUGGUGAGGUAAUGGCUCACCAAGGCGACGAUCAGUAUCCUGGUUUGAGAGGAUGAUCAGACACACUGGAACCUGAGACACGGCCCCAGACUCCUACGGGAGGCAGCAGUGGGGAAUCUUAGACAAUGGGCGCAAGCCUGAUCUAGCCAUGCCGCGUGAGCGAUGAAGGCCUUAGGGUUGUAAAGCUCUUUCAGUGGGGAAGAUAAUGACUGUACCCACAGAAGAAGCCCCGGCUAACUCCGUG
rnacentral:rRNA from 1 species